GACGAACGCUGGCGGCGUGCUUAACACAUGCAAGUCGAACGGAAAGGCCCUGCUUUUGUGGGGUGCUCGAGUGGCGAACGGGUGAGUAACACGUGAGUAACCUGCCCUUGACUUUGGGAUAACUUCAGGAAACUGGGGCUAAUACCGGAUAGGAGCUCCUGCUGCAUGGUGGGGGUUGGAAAGUUUCGGCGGUUGGGGAUGGACUCGCGGCUUAUCAGCUUGUUGGUGGGGUAGUGGCUUACCAAGGCUUUGACGGGUAGCCGGCCUGAGAGGGUGACCGGCCAAAUGGGGAAGGGGAAACGGCCAAGACCCCGAGGGGGGGAAGCGGGGGGGAAAAUGGAAAAAGGGGGGGAAGCCGGAGGAAGAAAGGCGGGGGGGGGGAGGAGGGCCUUGGGGUGGAAAACGGGUUUGGCGGGGAACGAAGGGGGAGUGAGGGUAAGGGGAAAGAAAGCAACGGGUAAAUACGG
rnacentral:rRNA from 1 species